GAUGAACGCUAGCGGCAGGCUUAACACAUGCAAGUCGAGGGGCAGCAUAAAUAGUAGCAAUACUAUUGGUGGCGACCGGCGGACGGGUGCGUAACGCGUAUACAACCUUCCCUAAACAGGGGGAUAAGCUGGAGAAAUUCGGUCUAAUACCCCAUACAAUCAGAGCAGGCAUCUGUUUUGGUUAAAUUUUCGGGAGGUUUAGGAUGGGUAUGCGUAGCAUUAGCUAGUUGGUGAGGUAACGGCUCACCAAGGCCACGAUGCUUAGGGGGACUGAGAGGUUAACCCCCCACACUGGUACUGAGACACGGACCAGACUCCUACGGGAGGCAGCAGUGAGGAAUAUUGGUCAAUGGGCGGAAGCCUGAACCAGCCAUGCCGCGUGCAGGAUGACGGCUCUAUGAGUUGUAAACUGCUUUUGUACGAGGGUAAAGUGGGCUACGUGUAGCCUUUUGAAAGUAUCGUACGAAUAAGGAUCGGCUAACUCCGUGCCAGCCGCCGCGGUAA
rnacentral:rRNA from 1 species